AUUGAACGCUGGCGGCAUGCCUUACACAUGCAAGUCGAACGGCAGCACGGGAGCUUGCUCCUGGUGGCGAGUGGCGAACGGGUGAGUAAUGCAUCGGAACGUGCCCUGAAGUGGGGGAUAACGUAGCGAAAGUUACGCUAAUACCGCAUAUUCUGUGAGCAGGAAAGCAGGGGAUCUUCGGACCUUGCGCUUCUGGAGCGGCCGAUGUCGGAUUAGCUAGUUGGUGGGGUAAAGGCCCACCAAGGCGACGAUCCGUAGCGGGUCUGAGAGGAUGAUCCGCCACACUGGAACUGAGACACGGUCCAGACUCCUACGGGAGGCAGCAGUGGGGAAUUUUGGACAAUGGGCGCAAGCCUAGACU
rnacentral:rRNA from 1 species